rnacentral:rRNA from 1 species
UGGUGGCGAGCGGCGGACGGGUGAGUAAUGCAUAGGAAUCUGCCCGGUAGUGGGGGAUAACGUGGGGAAACCCACGCUAAUACCGCAUACGUCCUACGGGAGAAAGCGGAGGAUCUUCGGACUUCGCGCUAUCGGAUGAGCCUAUGUCGGAUUAGCUAGUUGGUAAGGUAACGGCUUACCAAGGCGACGAUCCGUAGCUGGUCUGAGAGGAUGAUCAGCCACACUGGGACUGAGACACGGCCCAGACUCCUACGGGAGGCAGCAGUGGGGAAUAUUGGACAAUGGGCGAAAGCCUGAUCCAGCCAUGCCGCGUGUGUGAAGAAGGCUUUCGGGUUGUAAAGCACUUUCAGCGAGGAAGAAAGCCUGUCGGUUAAUACCCGGCAGGAACGACAUCACUCGCAGAAGAAGCACCGGCUAACUCCGUGCCAGCAGCCGCGGUAAUACGGAGGGUGCGAGCGUUAAUCGGAAUUACUGGGCGUAAAGCGCGCGUAGGUGGCUUGGCACGCCAGGUGUGAAAGCCCCGGGCUCAACCUGGGAACGGCAUCUGGAACGGCCAAGCUAGAGUGCAGGAGAGGAAGGUGGAAUUCCCGGUGUAGCGGUGAAAUGCGUAGAGAUCGGGAGGAAUACCAGUGGCGAAGGCGGCCUUCUGGCCUGACACUGACACUGAGGUGCGAAAGCGUGGGUAGCAAACAGGAUUAGAUACCCUGGUAGUCCACGCCGUAAACGAUGUCGACUAGCCGUUGGGACCUUUAAGGACUUAGUGGCGCAGUUAACGCGAUAAGUCGACCGCCUGGGGAGUACGGCCGCAAGGUUAAAACUCAAAUGAAUUGACGGGGGCCCGCACAAGCGGUGGAGCAUGUGGUUUAAUUCGAUGCAACGCGAAGAACCUUACCUACCCUUGACAUCCUGCGAACCCGGAAGAAAUUCCGGGGUGCCUUCGGGAACGCAGUGACAGGUGCUGCAUGGCUGUCGUCAGCUCGUGUUGUGAAAUGUUGGGUUAAGUCCCGUAACGAGCGCAACCCUUGUCCUUAUUUGCCAGCGAUUCGGUCGGGAACUCUAAGGAGACUGCCGGUGACAAACCGGAGGAAGGUGGGGACGACGUCAAGUCAUCAUGGGCCUUACGGGUGGGGCUACACACGUGCUACAAUCGCCGGUACAAAGGGUUGCGAGACCGCGAGGUGGAGCGAAUCCCAUAAAGCCGGCCGCAGUCCGGAUCGGAGUCUGCAACUCGACUCC